rnacentral:rRNA from 1 species
CAUCAAGCCCUCCCUGCCGUGUGCUUCUGGCAGAACCUGGUUUUGCUCGGAGGCAGAGGGAUCCCUGGAAUUUCAUAUUUUGGGUGAGGACGGUAGGGCUUCUGGCGCGAUUUGUCCCGUCUUGAAACACGGACCAAGGAGUCUAGCGUAUCUGCGAGUCGUAGGGUGUUAAAACCUGAAGGCGUAGUGAAAGCGAAAUUUUUUAAAUUUUGCAGUUUGCGCGGCGUACGAUCGUUGAUUGUAAGUCUGACCUAGAGCAGAUAUGCUAGGACCCGAAAGAUGGUGAACUAUGCCUGAGUAGGGUGAAGCCAGAGGAAACUCUGGUGGAAGCUCGUAGCGGUGCUGACGUGCAAAUCGCUCGUCUAACUCGGGUAUAGGGGCGAAAGACUAAUCGAACCAUCUAGUUGCUGGUUUCCUCCGAAGUUUCUCUCAGGAUAGCAGGCCGCGUUACAGCUGUUGUGUGCGGUAAAGCCAAUGAUUAGCGUAUUUGGGGGCUUUUUGCCUUCGGACGAUUCUCAAACUUUAAAUGCGCACGGAUGUUGCUGCUUCGGUGAGCAAUGUCAACAAAAGCUGCGGCUUUGUGGGCCAAUUUUGGUAAGCAGAACUGGCGAUAUGGGAUGAACCAUAAGUGUGGUUAAGGCGCCAAAUUGCCCGCUUAUAGACCCCAAAAAAGGUGUUGAUUCAUCCAGACAGCAGGACGGUGGCCAUGGAAGUCGGAAUCCGCUAAGGAGUGUGUAACAACUCACCUGCCGAAUGAAUUAGCCCUGAAAAUGGAUGGCGCUGAAGCGGGUAGCCGACACCACGCCGUCUGGGCAACUUUGUUCCCAGAUGAGUAGGAGGACGUGGCGGUUGUAUAGAAGCGUACGCGCGAGCGUGCGUGGAACGGCCGCCAGUGCAGAUCUUGGUGUUAGUAGCAAAUAUUCAAUUGAAAACCUUGAAGGGCGAAGCGGGGAAGGGUUCCACGCGUACAUUGAUUGGGUGUGGGUGAGUCGUUCCUAAGCCGCGUGGCAAUAGCUACAUAUCGGCGAAAGGGAAGCAGGUUGACAUUCCUGCACACGGAUGUGGAUGCGGUGACGCACUUCUGGGGCAGUGAAGCUGGCUUUGGCACUGGGCAGAGAUAUCUUUUCUGUUUAACCGUUAUCGAACGUACUGUGUGGAAUCCGCUUGUCGGGAGAAACACGUGCGGUCGGGCAUAGCGCCGGGAUUUAUCCGGCGUCCAGUUCGCUGAGGACGGACCCUGAAAAACUGCUUGCUGGCACAAUUCCUUGAGAGUUGUGUAUGAAGAAUCCACGCCGUAACGUACCGAUAA